GAUGAAGAACGUAGCGAAAUGCGAUACUUGGUGUGAAUUGCAGAAUCCCGUGAACCAUCGAGUCUUUGAACGCAAGUUGCGCCCGAAGCCAUUGGGCCGAGGGCACGCCUGCCUGGGCGUCACACGUCGUUGCCCCCCCAUCUACUCCUUCGGGAUUGCGGGGGGCGGAUGAUGGCCUCCCGUGCGCCUCGUCGCGCGGUUGGCAUAAAUGCCAAGUCCUCGGCGACGCACGCCACGACAAUCGGUGGUUGCGAAACCUCGGUUGCCCGUCGUGUGCGGUCGUCGCGCAUCGAGGGCUCGAAAAAAUUGCCGGGCUCCGGCUCGGCUUUCAACGCGACCCCAGGUCAGGCGGGGUUACCCGCUGAAUUUAAGCAUAUCAAUAAGCGGAGGA
rnacentral:misc_RNA from 1 species